ACGGGUGAGUAACACGUAGGCAACCUGCCCUCAAGCUUGGGACAACUACCGGAAACGGUAGCUAAUACCGAAUACUUGUUUUCUUCGCCUGAAGAGAACUGGAAAGACGGAGCAAUCUGUCACUUGGGGAUGGGCCUGCGGCGCAUUAGCUAGUUGGUGAGGUAACGGCUCACCAAGGCGACGAUGCGUAGCCGACCUGAGAGGGUGAUCGGCCACACUGGGACUGAGACACGGCCCAGACUCCUACGGGAGGCAGCAGUAGGGAAUCUUCCGCAAUGGGCGAAAGCCUGACGGAGCAAUGCCGCGUGAGUGAUGAAGGUUUUCGGAUCGUAAAGCUCUGUUGCCAGGGAAGAACGCUUGGGAGAGUAACUGCUCUCAAGGUGACGGUACCUGAGAAGAAAGCCCCGGCUAACUACGUGCCAGCAGCCGCGGUAAUACGUAGGGGGCAAGCGUUGUCCGGAAUUAUUGGGCGUAAAGCGCGCGCAGGCGGUCAUGUAAGUCUGGUGUUUAAUCCCGGGGCUCAACCCCGGAUCGCACUGGAAACUGCGUGACUUGAGUGCAGAAGAGGAGAGUGGAAUUC
rnacentral:rRNA from 1 species